rnacentral:lncRNA from 1 species
AUGCUGUUCUUUUGAACUUUCUGUUCAUCAAAGAACAAUGAAGAAUAAAAUCUAACAUGGUUUUUACAAAAAAUAUGAAGCAGCACAUCUGUUUUCAAACUUUGAUGAUAAUUUGAUAAUGAUAAUGUUCAUGAUUUUCAUAUUUUCAUGAUUUCUGAAGAUCAUGUGACACUGAAGACUGGAGGAAUGAUGCUGAAAAUACACAGGAAUAAAUUAUAAUUUAAUAUGUUGCAAUAGAAAACAGUUAUUUUACAAUGGAAAAAUAUUUCACAAUUUUUACUGGAUGAGCACUUCUUUCAAAAAUAUUGAAAAAUCAUAUCAACCCCAAAUAUGAAGUAAAAAAAGAUUGAAAGAAAGUUUUUAAACAUGUCUACAUGUUAAUUUCUUAAUAGUGUUUAACCUUCAACACAGAGACGACAUAUUUACAAUUAAUUCCCAUCUCUUUUUGGGAAACUGUAGAUAUAUUUGUGUUUCAUUUUCCUGGGCUAUGGUGCAAAGACAAAAAUGUUGCAGAUUGUGCAAAAUAAGCGGUAAAGCAUGCAUGUGUUCACCGUGUUCGCACACAAUGAGAGGGAGCGAGAUGUGGGACGGAGAAUGUAGGUCACAUUCCUGAGCUGAAAGCUUUCCGAACCACACAAUCACAGCAGGAUUUCCAGCAUUUCACUGAAGGCCGUCAAACAAGAGCAUUUCCCCUGUGUUUCCCCCCAAACAGAGACCCCUGAUCAAAAGCCACCGCUGACCUCGCGGCUCAAUCGGCCUUUGUGUGGCUCACAGCUGAGAUUGACCCGUCUGCACCCAUGCUUGUGUUCAUUUGAGCUUGUAGACGCACACAAUGCAUUCAACACAAGAAAAUCAAAUCCAGAUUGGCUGAAUUUGACGUGGCUCCAGAGGGAGGAGAGGACGGAGAUAAGCCGUGACAGGAUUGUGCAGGGAAGGGAUGGUGGUUUAUUACACGGCUCUGGGGCGUGCAUUUCUGUGGCCGACGUGUCUGGACGCUUCGGCUGUGACUGAACACAAAAGAUUGGAAAAGAGAGAGAGAGAGAGAGAUCUGAGACAGUGAUGUCACUCAUUCCCGAUAGCGAUGGGGAUCAUGUGGAAUUUCGGUUUUGAUUCCUUAACAGUUUUAGUUUCUUAACAAAGCUCUUAGUACUUGACUGCUAUAUUUAAAGUGCACAGUUCAUCCUAAAAUUAAAAUUCUGUCAGCAUUUACCCACCACUCGUCAGUCCAGGCCGAGCUGUGAAUGUCAUGAGUUCAGUGAAUCAGUCAAGAGUGAAUCAUUUCACUGAUUCAAACUGAUUUUUGAUUAUUUUGAAUCAUUUGAUCAUGAAUCGCAUGAGUUUUUAUUGCUAACGAAAAUGAAAAUCUUUUAUUUUAACUGUUAUAACUGUAAAAAAUGUUAACUGUUUAAAAUUUGGUUGAAAUGAACUCAGAAAUUGCUAAUAGAUUUCACAAAUAAAGCAGUUAUUGAAGACU